rnacentral:rRNA from 1 species
UACAGAGGGUGCGAGCGUUAAUCGGAAUUACUGGGCGUAAAGCGUGCGUAGACGGUAGCGUAAGUCAGAUGUGAAAGCCCCGGGCUCAACCUGGGAACUGCAUUUGAGACUGCUCUGCUCGGGUGCGGAAGAGGGAAGCGGAAUUUCCGGUGUAGCGGUGAAAUGCGUAGAUAUCGGAAGGAACACCAGUGGCGAAAGCGGCUUCCUGGUCCGACACCGA